rnacentral:tRNA from 1 species
GCAGGCGUAGCCAAGUGGUAAGGCAAGAGGUUGCAACCCUCUGAUCCCAGGUUCAAAUCCUGGCGUCUGCU